AUGGAGAUGAGGUACCCAGGCUUCAAGCCUCGCCUGCAGCAUCGUCUGGUCCUGCAGGGCCCUCCGAAAGGUACCGCCCACAAAGCCCAGGUCACCAACUCAUUGGCCACUCCCAGGGAAACAUUCUACUUGCCCCUCCCACCUACCCAACCUCGACUGGAGUUCUUGCACUGGGUGCAAGUGGAGAACAGCGAAGAGCAGGAGAAGAGGUGGAGGGAUAGGGCUGAGAGGGAGCAGCGUAAGCCCCAGAGGGAGGCCAGCCUACCUCCUCCUUCCAGAAUGGGCCCCCAUACCUUGGCACGCUUCUUCUUCCAGUGGAGGGGGAGACCCAGGAACUGGAGCGGGGCCAGGGGGAGCCGAGCAGACUCACCCCAGGAUGUGGACCCUGAGUGGGGGGAGAGAGAGAGGCUGCUCUGGCUCAGUCACCUGAGGGCUCCACCACUGGACAGCAAGGGCAACAUACUGCCCCCUAGUGGCUUUAAACGGCGUGGACGAUAUGGGCCACAGACAGAGGACCCUCAGACAGGAAUGACACACACCUCCACCACACAAAGCCUGCCCCUGCCGCCUCUCCUCAUGCUCCGCAGACACACCCUCUGCUACCGGUUACCUCGGAAACGACCCCCGGAGCACCUGAGUUGCCCCAUGAAGGGCAGAGCAAAGACUUCCUGA
rnacentral:lncRNA from 1 species